rnacentral:misc_RNA from 1 species
GACCGAUGACAACUCUGUGGUUUCGAUGCACCCACAGACGAUGGAGAAGCUGCAAUUGUUCCGUGGCGAUACUAUCCUGCUGAAGGGUAAGAAGAGGAGGGAUACAGUUUGUAUUGCGCUCGCAGAUGAGACAUGUGAUGAGGCUAAGAUUAGAAUGAAUAAGGUUGUUAGAUCGAACCUCAGGGUUAGGCUUGGUGAUGUGGUUUCGGUUCAUCAGUGCCAGGAUGUUAAGUAUGGUGCCCGUGUGCACAUACUGCCUAUUGAUGAUACCAUCGAGGGCGUCACUGGAAACUUGUUUGAUGUUUAUCUCAAGCCAUAUUUCAUGGAGGCCUAUCGCCCUGUUAGGAAAGGCGAUCUUUUUCUAGUCAGAGGUGGCAUGCGGAGUGUUGAGUUUAAGGUCAUCGAAACAGAACCUGCAGAGUAUUGUGUCGUCUCCCCUGAUACGGAAAUCUUUUGCGAGGGGGAACCUGUUAAAAGGGAAGACGAGGAUAAGCUUAAUGAGAUCGGUUAUGAUGAUAUUGGCGGGAUGAGAAAGCAAAUGGCUCAGAUCAGGGAGUUGGUUGAGCUUCCCCUGAGGCACCCACAGCUUUUCAAGUCUAUUGGUGUAAAGCCUCCAAAAGGAAUCUUGCUGUAUGGACCCCCUGGUUCAGGGAAAACACUUAUCGCCCGUGCUGUUGCAAAUGAAACCGGAGCCUUCUUCUUUUGUAUAAAUGGCCCGGAAAUCAUGUCAAAGUUGGCUGGAGAAAGUGAAAGCAAUCUCAGAAAGGCUUUUGAAGAGGCCGAAAAGAAUGCACCAUCUAUCAUCUUCAUUGAUGAAAUUGAUUCAAUUGCU